AGUCACUUUUUUUAAGAAAAAUUUGAAUCAUCUCAAGGGGAAAUACAGUUAUCACAGACUGACAAGCUCCCCACUAAUUAUGUUAAUCUUACUCUAUAUCCCUAGUAUUUAGCAUGGUGCCUGAUAUAUAGAAGAUCCUCAAUAAAUAUUUGUUUAGUGAAUGUAUAGGUAAUUAAUUCUACCUGGGGCAUAACCUCAAAAGACCUCUUGCUCAGCUGUUUGCUAUCAAUUUCCUGAGUCCAGCAGCUCCUUUCACUGAUAAAUGGUCUCAUUGUUCCUUCAACUGUAGAUCAAAGAACAUCUGUCCUACAGGAAAGCAAAGUCAGUCUCCUAACAGUCUGGGUUUCCAUUAUGCUCCCAAGAGCAAGUUUGGAUCACUCCCCAAAAUGCUAUGGAUAACAAUAUGCUCUCCCUUCAUGAUGCGAACGGGGAGGGCAGCAGACAAAAUAUAAAUAACGACCUGAAAGCCAGGUAAUUUAGAAUUACUUCAAAGCUGAUGAGCCAUUAUUCCUCCCUAUCAUCAAUGCCUCUAAAACAGGCUCUCCUAUCACCUUGUCCAACCUCCAUCAUAAAAUUAAUUACCUCUGGAUAGACCCCAUUUAAUUGUUCAUAAAAUUGAUCUUACUUCUCAGAUUUUAUGGCAACUAGUAUGUCAUCAACAAAAGUGCCUAGAAUAAAUGGGCUGCUCAUUAUCUACCUUGAAAUAAAAUAAAAUAAACCCAUGAUGGAUGCAGGCGCAUUUGACACCUGUGUCUCUUGUACUGUAAUGGAUAAUUGCACAGCACCCCAGAGAUCUCUGCUGGAAGGCUUCUUCACUUUCAAAAAAUAGUAAAAAGGCAUGUUCUUUCAAUUAGAAAAUUCAACGCAUUUCAUUUUUAAAAAGUGCUCUCGUUAAUGCAUUUGUUUGUCUCUCUGUUUAUUCAGUUAUUCAAUCCAGAAGGAGUGUGGUUACAGAAGGAACGUGCAACUUGGAAUGAGAAGAACCUGGAUUCCAAUCUUACUUCCUCCGUGAUCAGAAGAGAUGGUGGAUGAGAGUGAGUCCAGAGCAGUGCUUGUUGUAGAGACCCUGCAUGUACAGUAGCCCUGGCUUCGGCCUCAUACUUCUCCUCCUGUGUCCAUUCUGAGUGGCGUUGCUGAGGCUCCUAAUAUGUACCUGGAGUAUACUUAACUUGCUGAAGGUCUGGGCAGAAGGGCAGGACUCUGACCCGCGGCAAAGAUCCGCGAUGCCUGCAGCUGAACGGAGCUCGUGAAUCUGAUGUUUCCUCUCCAUUCUUGAGUUUUCUGCAUUAACCCCCACGUGGAAACACGGACCCACCCACUGGAGGACUGUGAAGAGAAAAUGUGAAGAGGUGUUAGCAGAGCAUCUGGUAUAUAGUAGGUGCAAAAGAAAUGGC